CGAAUGGGGCAACCCGGCACAGUGAAGCUGUGUCACCACGUAAGUGGGGUAAACCCGGUGAACUGAAACAUCUAAGUAACCGGAGGAAGAGAAAACAAUAGUGAUUCCGUUAGUAGUGGCGAGCGAACGCGGAUUAGCCCAAACCAGUGUUGUUACGGCAAUACUGGGGUUGUAGGACCACGACAUUUGAUGCUAAUUGAAUUAGAACUGUUUGGAAAGACAGACCGAAGAGGGUGAUAGUCCCGUAUAAGUAAGAUUAGUUAUUGAUAGUGGUAUCCUGAGUA
rnacentral:rRNA from 1 species